rnacentral:rRNA from 1 species
UACAGAGGGUGCAAACGUUGCUCGGAAUGAUUGGGCGUAAAGCGCGUGUAGGCGGCCGAUUAUGCCGGUUGUGAAAGCCCGUGGCUUAACCACGGAAGUGCAGUCGGAACUGAUCGGCUAGAGUGCCGAAGAGGGUGGCGGAAUGCCCAGUGUAGAGGUGAAAUUCGUAGAUAUUGGGUAGAACACCAGUGGCGAAGGCGGGUCUCUGGACAGUUCCUGACACUGAGGCACGAAGGCCAGGGGAGCAAACGGG